rnacentral:lncRNA from 1 species
UAUCUUUGCAUAGUAUUUUGUAAUUUCCCCCAUAAUAAUAAUGCUUGUUGCAUUACAUAUUUAUAUUAUAUUGUUAAUCAUAAUAUAAAUAGCUUUCACCAGAAUAUCAGCAACAUGCAAGCAUAUCUCUAUCUUUAUAUUCUUACCAUUUUUCUUCAUCUGUUAUCAACACCUAAUAUUAUGCUUCAUACACUCACAACAAAUCUUUGUUGAAUAAAUAAAUGUUCCAAAUUAUGCAAAAUAAACUAAGCUGGUAAAGAGAGGAAGAGAAUUUUCAGGAAGAAGAAGCACUUAUAUCAACAUUUCUGAAGAUUAUGGAUACAAAUAUCUGUAAAUAGAUUCAGGAGGCAAGAGUAGUAAAAUGUGGACCUAAGUAUUAGUAAAGUGCUCAUUAAUGAAGGAUGUUUUAUUCUAUGCUAAGGAGUUUGGAUUUUAUUCUAAAGUCAAUGAGAACUAAAUGACAGAUUUUAUAAUUUGGUAAGUUACAUGUUUUAGAUACUAAGGUACUAAAUAUAUUAGAAUUAGCAAGAUUUGAAACUUUAAUCAGUGUUAGAAAUCAAAAGACAAUGGAUGGUAAAAGAAAGUAGGAAAUCUAAGAUUAUACAUGCCCUUCUAAAUUAGAAUCUUGAUGUCUUUUUUUUUUAGAGAUUUAAGCAUUGCAAAUUGAUUCCAAUCAUAAAACAAGUAUAUAUAUAUACACACACAUAUAUGAAUUUUAAAAUUACAUAUAUAAAUAUAUACAAAAAUAUACAUAUAUGAAUUUAUUUAAAAAAUUUGACCCUGUCUACUCAUUAUCUACAGGUAUAUUUCUCUCUUACCAUUUAUAGUCGAUUUCUUGAAAGAUAUGUACAUGUCGUUACCUUGCGUUCACCCCGCAACUGACUUCUGUAUAAUUUUCUACUCACCACCAGUGAAAAUGCACCUGUCAAAGAAGUUCCACCAUUGGAAAUAAAAAUGAAAAAGAUUUUGCAAAGGCAAUUAAUAAUGAGUCAUCAGAGAGAAUGAAGCCACCAAGGAAAUCUAAAGUUUCAAAAACUUGGGAAAGGUCGACAAUGUCAGACAUCCAAGGGAUGACUGAAAAUAUUCUGCUAAUAUGCCAUUGGUGAACAAUACAGAGAUUCCAAAAUGAAAGAAAAGUCAUCCUCUCUGGAAAUGUGAAGCAUAACUAAAGUUUGACCAACAAGUUGUAGAAGUGAAAGGCAUCAAAUAUAAUAACCAAAGAAAACAGAAAAAUACCACACGUCCGGUAAUUCCUCAGCUGGCAGUAAAAACAGAUGAUUGAUUUAAACCUUUUCUCUACAUACAUUCUCAGGCUGGAUUAUAGUGGCAUAAUCUCGGUUCACUGCAACCUCUGCCUCCGGGGUUUCAGCGAUUCUCCCACGUCAGCCCGCUUAGGAGCUGGGACUACAGGCACGUGCCAACGUGCCCAGCAAAUUUUUUGUAUUUUUAGUAGAGACGGGGUUUCACCAUGUUGUCCUGGCUGAUCUCGAACUCCUGACCUUAAAUGAUCCACCCGCCUCGACCUUCCAAAGUUCUGGGACUACAGGUAUGAACCACUGUGGCCUGCAAAAUUAAAAAUUUUAACUUGAAAACUGGAAAACUACAACUCAGAAGCUAUAAUCAUAUAAAUUGUUCAUUGGUAGUUUAUUGGCACAUACCAAUAUAACCUAAAGUAUUUUGUCACCUGAAUGUAAAACAUGGUGAGAUAUAUAUCCUCCUUUAGCUACUUUCUUUACUUUUCUCCUUGAAAUGUAACAUUUUAUAGAUAAUACUCAGGGCAAUCUUUAAAAAUAUUGUCUGUGAUGUACCCUGUGAUUUAAGCCAAGUGAAAAAAAAUAUUAUAAAAUUUGUAUUGUAGAAAUACGACUCACAACAUGUAGAAAUGUUAGUAAAGUUUGUUUAACAAGUUUUAUUAAAAGGAAUGCAACUGUGCUUACAAGCCUAUGGUAGUUCCCCAUGUUCCUGAAGUUAAGGAGAUGCCAGAUCCUGAGAAAUAAGAAUAAUAAAAUGUUGAGUUUGCUCUAGAAAGAAGCAUGAAUUUUAAUACCAUGCAUGAACAAAAAGUAAGUUAUCAGAAAUGGGUUACAACACUAUGGGGUGAUCAGAAUAGGCCUCAUCAAGAUGAUGACAUUUGAGCAAAGACUAGAUAAUAAAGGAAUUAUCAAGAAGAUAUCUUGAGGGAAAAUAUUAUGGGCUGAG